CUACGGGUGGCUGCAGUGAGGAAUAUUGCACAAUGGGGGGAACCCUGAUGCAGCAACGCCGCGUGGAGGAUGACGCAUUUCGGUGUGUAAACUCCUUUUAUAUGUCAAGAAAAUGACGGUAGCAUAUGAAUAAGCACCGGCUAACUCCGUGCCAGCAGCCGCGGUAAUACGGAGGGUGCAAGCGUUACUCGGAAUCACUGGGCGUAAAGGACGCGUAGGCGGGUUGGAAAGUCAGGUGUGAAAUCCUACAGCUUAACUGUAGAACUGCACUUGAAACUUCUAAUCUAGAGUAUGGGAGGGGGAGAUGGAAUUAGUGGUGUAGGGGUAAAAUCCGUAGAUAUCACUAGGAAUACCUAAAGCGAAGGCGAUCUCCUGGAACAUUACUGACGCUAAGGCGUGAAAGCGUGGGGAGCAAACAGGAUUAGAUACCCCCGUUAGUC
rnacentral:rRNA from 1 species